AGUUUUGCGCAGUGGCAGUAUUGUAGCCAAUGAGGUUUAUCCGAGGCGCAAAUAUUGCUAAUUGAAAAUUUUUCCCAAUACCCUGCCAUGACAACUUGCAAUAUAAUCAGCAUGGGCCAUUUUUGACAGUCCCUACAGGGA
rnacentral:snRNA from 1 species